GAAGCUGGAUUCGCUAGUAAUCGCGCAUCAGCCACGGCGCGGUGAAUACGUUCCCGGGCCUUGUACACACCGCCCGUCAAGCCAUGGAAGCCGGGAGUGCCUGAAGUGCGUGAGCGCAAGCAGCGCCCUAAGGUAAAACCGGUGACUGGGGCUAAGUCGUAACAAGGUACC
rnacentral:rRNA from 1 species